GACGAACGCUGGCGGCGUGCUUAACACAUGCAAGUCGAACGGAAAGGCCCUGCUUUUGUGGGGUGCUCGAGUGGCGAACGGGUGAGUAACACGUGAGUAACCUGCCCUUGACUUUGGGAUAACUUCAGGAAACUGGGGCUAAUACCGGAUAGGAGCUCCUGCUGCAUGGUGGGGGUUGGAAAGUUUCGGCGGUUGGGGAUGGACUCGCGGCUUAUCAGCUUGUUGGUGGGGUAGUGGCUUACCAAGGCUUUGACGGGUAGCCGGCCUGAGAGGGUGACCGGCCACAUUGGGACUGCGAUACGGCCCAGACUCCUACGGGAGGCAGCAGUGGGGAAUAUUGCACAAUGGGCGGAAGCCUGAUGCAGCAACGCCGCGUGCGGGAUGACGGCCUUCGGGUUGUAUACCGCUUUCGCCUGUGACGAAGCGUGAGUGACGGUAAUGGGUAAAGAAGCACCGGCUAACUACGUG
rnacentral:rRNA from 1 species